AGGCUGCCUUUAACAAUUCUUAACAUUGCCCAUGGCCAUCACAACAUCAAAAGGAGUCAUGAGCCAAGUGUUCUUCACAGGAAACUGGGUGGAAUACAGAUUAUUCUUGGACAAACUUAGGAGCAGACCUGCCCCGGCUGCUGGCAGGGUUAGGUCAGAUGUCUGAGCCUGCUCUCCAUCUGGAAGGGUGCUGUCAGUGUCUGCUGUUCGCCAUCCUGCAGCGUGGGUAGACAAGGGACUCUGCUUCUGCCUCCUGGUCUCAUCAUGUGGCUCUGGAUGAUUUGAAACUCACCAGGUAGACCAGGCUGGCCU